AGGGUCGUUCGAGACCAGGACGUUGAUAGGUCAGGUGUGUAAGCGCAGUAAUGCGUUCAGCUAACUGAUACUAAUUGCCCGUAAGGCUUGAUCCUAUAACA
rnacentral:rRNA from 3 species